rnacentral:rRNA from 1 species
AGAGUUUGAUCAUGGCUCAGAGCGAACGUUAGCGGCGGGCUUAACACAUGCAAGUCGUACGCGAAAGGGCUUCGGCCCCGGUAGCGUGGCGUCCGGGUGAGUAACACGUAGGGAAUCUACCCUCGAGUGGGGGAUAACGUUCCGAAAGGGACGCUAAUACCGCAUAAGACCACGACGGCUCCGGCCGAUGCGGUCAAAGAUGGCCUCUGUACACAUGCUAUCGCUUGAGGAUGACUCUGCGGCGCAUCAGCUAGUUGGUGGGGUAAUGGCCCACCAAGGCGAAGACGCGUAGCUGGUCUGAGAGGAUGAUCAGCCACACUGGCACUGAAACACGGGCCAGACUCCUACGGGAGGCAGCAGUGGGGAAUAUUGGUCAAUGGGCGCAAGCCUGAACCAGCCACGCCGCGUGAGUGAUGAAGGCCUUCGGGUUGUAAAGCUCUGUGGGGAGGGAAGAAAACGUAUGGCAAGAAACGGCCAUGCCUUGACGGUACCUCCUUAGCAAGCACCGGCUAACUCUGUGCCAGCAGCCGCGGUAAUACAGAGGGUGCGAACGUUGCUCGGAAUUACUGGGCGUAAAGCGCGUGUAGGCGGGACCGCAAGUCAGAUGUGAAAUCCCCGGGCUCAACCCAGGAACUGCAUCUGAAACUGCGGACCUUGAGUACUGGAGAGGGCGGCGGAAUUCCUGGUGUAGAGGUGAAAUUCGUAGAUAUCAGGAGGAACACCGGUGGCGAAGGCGGCCGCCUGGACAGUCACUGACGCUGAGACGCGAAAGCGUGGGGAGCAAACAGGAUUAGAUACCC